rnacentral:rRNA from 1 species
GAGUUUGAUCAUGGCUCAGGAUGAACGCUAGCGACAGGCUUAACACAUGCAAGUCGAGGGGCAGCGGGGGCGGAAGCUUGCUUUCGCCCGCCGGCGACCGGCGCACGGGUGAGUAACACGUAUGCAACCUGGCCGCCACAGGGGGAUAACCCGCGGAAACGCGGCCUAAUACCCCGUGACGCCACCGGAGGGCAUCCUCCGGUGGCCAAAGGAGCGAUCCGGUGGCGGAUGGGCAUGCGGCGCAUUAGCUAGACGGCGGGGUGACGGCCCACCGUGGCGACGAUGCGUAGGGGUUCUGAGAGGAAGGCCCCCCACACUGGGACUGAGACACGGCCCAGACUCCUACGGGAGGCAGCAGUGAGGAAUAUUGGUCAAUGGGCGGAAGCCUGAACCAGCCAAGUCGCGUGAGGGAUUAAGGCCCUGCGGGUCGUAAACCUCUUUUGCCGGGGAGCAGAGGUCCGGACGUGUCCGGGCCGGGAGAGUACCCGGAGAAAAAGCAUCGGCUAACUCCGUGCCAGCAGCCGCGGCAAUACGGAGGAUGCGAGCGUUAUCCGGAUUUAUUGGGUUUAAAGGGUGCGUAGGCGGGCAUUUAAGCCGGCGGUCAAAUGUCGGGGCUCAACCCCGGCCUGCCGUCGGAACUGGGUGCCUUGAGUGGGCGAGAAGUAUGCGGAAUGCGUGGUGUAGCGGUGAAAUGCAUAGAUAUCACGCAGAACCCCGAUUGCGAAGGCAGCAUACCGGCGCCCGACUGACGCUGAGGCACGAAAGUGCGGGUAUCGAACAGGAUUAGAUACCCUGGUAGUCCGCACAGUAAACGAUGGAUGCUAUCUGUCCGGGCCGAAUGAGGCCUGGGUGGCACAGCGAAAGCGUUAAGCAUCCCACCUGGGGAGUACGCCGGCAACGGUGAAACUCAAAGGAAUUGACGG